UGACAAGAGAGUCGAUGUGUUGCCUGGACCCAAGGUCUACAGAGAUACAAUAUACGAGUGCAAGCCUGCUCUACAUGUCUAUCCACAACUAUACAAAUGCAAUCAACGGAAUACGAUAAACAAGCGAUGAACAAUCAACUGACAUGUAGAGACUACGAUACUGAUAUGAAAGAACAGAAGAAGGGUGAAACGAUCUCACCGACUACCAGCUCGAAGCACCCACCUGUCACUGUCGCGUCGGAACACUGGGUACGCACAAGUCGACCGGACCUACGAAGAUCCAACGGGUCAGUAACCAACCCACUCACCUGAAGUACACUAUCUCACAAACCCCCACACAGAUCCUCGAAUCGGUUUCCCAAAACCGAUCAUCGUAACUCACCGGAAGUCCUGAAAACCACACCGGGACGCCGUCGGGACCCACUAAGUGUCCCGAAACUCACCGACUCGUGUCACGAGUCACCUGCUGCCCCAAAACACUCCAAUUUGGAUGUUUUGGCAGCAAACACAAGAUAGCGCAACUACACCAUUACUGUCGGAUAAUUGUACGAAUCCGGGUUCCCGAAAGUGUCUAUUUCGACACCGGAACCCACCGUCGCUCACCCAUCAUCAUCGAACCCACAAAAUGAUGAUGGUGACUAGCCAACAAGGCUCAGCGACAAUUUAUAGGAUAACCAAUCCACGUCGAAAGAAAUCCGAACCGAAACCGCGUUCUUUCGGCGAAUUUCGCCGAAAAACGCACCGGAAUCGACUUUUCGAUUUCCGCGAAAGCUACAAGAUCAU
rnacentral:lncRNA from 1 species